UCCGGGGCGUCCAUCUUUUCUCCUCCUUCCCUCCACAGCGCGCGCGCGGGGUUUUUGGAAGCCACGCCUGUCCACGGUGCCCCCCUUGUUGCUCUCCCGCAGACCUUGGUUGGGACAAAAGGAACAGGAAAGCUGAGGGAUCAGCUCUGGAAGCCUCGAGCUGAGCUUGUGUAACCCCUAGAUAGGAAUGGAAUGAUCCAGAAAGGGGUGGAGCCUCCAGAGGCAGAAGGGUGCAGAAUGUAUGGAAAGCAGAAGAAGGAAGCAAGGCUGCCUGGCUGGAAACUGGAAGUUCAACUACAGGCUCUUAAUACCUUGUUUAAGGACCCACAAACUGAGGUUACACUUUUGUCUCUUCCCUGGCCAUCACUGGGAGACUCCCAUUUCACCUGUAUAUUCUCCACCCCUUCCUCACUGGCACUCAAUCCUGGG